UACGUAGGGGGCAAGCGUUGUCCGCGUUUAUUGGGCGUAAAGAGCGUGUAGGCGGCCAUACAGGUCAGCUGUGAAAACUCGAGGCUCAACCUCGAGACGUCGGUUGAAACCGUAUGGCUAGAGUCCGGAAGAGGAGAGUGGAAUUCCCGGUGUAGCGGUGAAAUGCGCAGAUAUCUGGAGGAACACCGGUGGCGAAGGCGACACCCUGGACCGGUAUUGACGCUGAGGCGCGAAAGCCAGGGGAGCAAACGGG
rnacentral:rRNA from 1 species